AUGAGGCCUCUCGGCGCCGUCGCCCUGCUCCUCGUCGCGGCAGCGGCGGCGCCACGGGCGGUGAGCGGCCAGCACUACGGCUCGAUCAGCAGAGACGACUUCCCCGUGGACUUCAGCUUCGGGGCCAGCACAUCAGCUUAUCAGUGGGAAGGCGCGGCGGCGGAGGACGGCCGGACUCCCAGCGUGUGGGACACCUUCGCUCACGCCCACGCCGGUGAUGACUCUGUAAAUGGUGACGUGGCAGCUGACGGCUACCACAAGUACAAGGAGGAUAUCAAAUUAAUGAAGGAGACGGGGCUGGAUGCUUAUAGAUUCUCUAUCUCUUGGUCAAGGCUUAUUCCUAAUGGAAGAGGAGAAAUCAAUCCAAAAGGAGUAGAAUACUACAACAAUCUCAUCAAUGAACUUCUUGAUCAUGGAAUUCAACCACAUACAACGAUUUUCCAGUACGAUCUUCCUCAGAUCCUUGAAGAUGAAUAUGGUGGAUGGUUGAGUCCCCAAAUAAUUGAUGAUUUCACAGCAUAUGCAGAUGUGUGCUUUAGGGAAUUUGGGGAUAGGGUUACCAAUUGGACUACUCUAAAUGAACCUAACGCUUUAGUUUCGCUUGGAUAUGAUGCUGGUAUCGGGCCACCAGGGAGAUGUUCUAAACCAUUUGGAUUUGCUAACUGUUCCUCUGGGGACUCUGUAAAUGAGCCAUACAUUGUAGCUCAUAAUUGCUUAUUGGCUCAUAGCUCAGCUGUGUCACUAUACAGAAGAAAGUAUCAGGCAAAGCAACACGGACUUAUUGGCAUGAAUAUGUUUAUAAAUAACAUAUUACCUUAUACAAAUUCAACAGAAGAUAUAGCUGCAGCGAAAAGAGCACAAGCCUUCUACACAGGCUGGUUCUUGGAUCCUCUCUAUUAUGGAGAUUACCCACUUGUGAUGAAGGAAAAUACUGGCUCCAAGUUGCCAAAAUUUUCUCGAAGCCAGUCUAAACAACUAAUCAGCUCUAUGGACUUUCUUGGUAUCAAUUACUACACAUUUUUGUACGUGAAGGAUGACCCGCAUCAUGCUCCCAGCAACAGAAGGGAUUUCAGGGCUGAUAUGGCUGCUAAAUCAAUAUUUGCAAGCAAUUCUACCACUGGGUUCUCUGUGCCAGGUUAUGGUCUACGGCAAGUGCUUGAACAUUUGAAGCAAUCUUAUGGUAAUCCUCCAAUCUAUAUCCAUGAGAAUGGGUAUCCAAUGCAUCAAGAUGUGGUAUUUGAUGAUGGCCCUAGGGUGGAAUUCUUGAGUGAACAUCUUAAAAACCUGCUUAUUGCUCUCAGGAAUGGUUCGAAUACUAGGGGCUACUUUGCCUGGUCGCUGAUGGAUUUAUAUGAACUACUUAGUGUCGGGGACACGUAUGGGCUGUAUUACGUGGAUUUUGCCAAUGAGGAUCUCAAGAGGUAUCCAAGGAGGUCUGCGAUUUGGUACAAGGAUUUUCUCAAGGGGAGGCGCAUGGAGACAGAGAGAUUCUCCGAUCACUAG
rnacentral:rRNA from 1 species